AUUAGAAUAAAUUAUACAAAUUUAAAAAUAUCAGAAUUACAUGCUAUCCACCAUUUCACCGUUAUCAAUUGUGGAUCAGAAAGGAAAUUCAAUCAAGAAUUAGAAUAAUUUGAGAUCCACCUCAUCCAUUUCACAAUCGCUAGCGGCCGGGGACUGCAACGGUAAUCCCUUCUCCCACUCCUCUUCUUCCCUCCUUUUCCCCUCCUUGUCCGCAUCGAUGGCGUCAAGAUCCGGGUCCAGGUCCAUAUGCUUGAGGAGCUCAAGUGCUCGCUGGCACUGCUCGAGGACCGUCUCAAUGGUUUUCCGCUGCACCCGUAUCUGCUCCUCCACGCCCCAGUGGAGUCGCAGCGCACUCCGCGGGGCCUUGGCAGCGGAGUGCAAGGUGGCCGCCUCCGCCUCCUCCAUGAAGCCCUAACCCUUAUAAGAACAGAAAGUGGAGGGGGGUAGGGAUUCUGUAGAAGGAUUAGGUUUUUGUUAAAUAGAUGGAGGAGGAAUUCCAGCCCCGUUCUUCAUCUCCGGCUACAUGGGUUCUGUCCUUGCCACCGGAUGGAUCUUGAAUCACCCCUCCCAAUUGCUGCCGUGGGUAAGGCUUGAAGCAAACAAACAAAAAAGAAAAAACAUGUGGGGACGGUGCCAGGAAA
rnacentral:lncRNA from 1 species